rnacentral:SRP_RNA from 1 species
AAUUCGGCAUCAAUAUGGUGACCUCCCAGGAGUGGGGGACCACCAAGUUGCCUAAGGAGGGGUGAACCAGCCCAGGUUGGAAAUGGAGCAGGUCAAAACUCCUGUGCUGAUUU